rnacentral:rRNA from 13 species
GAAUUAAGGGCUUACGGUGGAUACCUAGGCACCUAGAGACGAUGAAAGGCGUAGUAACCGACGAAACGCUUCGGGGAGCUGGAAACAAGCUUUGAUCCGGAGAUUCCUGAAUAGGGCAACCUCUUGAACUCCCUGUUGAAUUCAUAGACAGGAGAGAGACAACCUAGUGAAUUGAAACAUCUUAGUAGCUAGAGGAAUAGAAAGCAAACGCGAUUCCCUCAGUAGCGGCGAGCGAAAUGGGACCAGCCUAAACCGGAAUUUUUUCCGGGGUUGUGGGACAUCAAAUAACACGUUGAAUUCGUUAAGUGAAACAGCUGAAUACUGUACCAUAGAUGGUGAAAGUCCAGUAACUGAAAACGCAAAGCUAACGUCUUGAUGAAUCCCGAGUAGCAUGGGGCACGUGAAAUCCCGUGUGAAUCUGCGAGGACCACCUCGUAAGGCUAAAUACUCCUAGGUGACCGAUAGUGAAACAGUACCGUGAGGGAAAGGUGAAAAGAACCCCCAUCGGGGAGUGAAAUAGAACAUGAAACCGUGAGCUUACAAGCAGUGGGAGGGGUUAAGCCCUGACCGCGUGCCUGUUGAAGAAUGAGCCGGCGACUUAUAGGUAGUGGCUUGGUUAAAGCUUAUUCGGCUGGAGCCAUAGCGAAAGCGAGUCUGAAUAGGGCGCACUGUCCCUACCUAUGGACCCGAACCCGGGUGAUCUAACCAUGGCCAGGAUGAAGCUUGGGUGAAACUAAGUGGAAGACCGAACCGACCGAUUUUGAAAAAUCGGCGGAUGAGCUGUGGUUAGGGGUGAAAUACCAAUCGAACUCGGAGCUAGCUGGUUCUCCCCGAAAUGCGUUGAGGCGCAGCGGUGAAACAUGAGCUGUUUAGGGGUAAAGCACUGUUUCGGUGCGGGCUGCGAAAGCGGUACCAAAUCGUAGCAAACUCAUAAUACUAGACAUGCCUUCGUUUCACCAGUGAGACAGUGGGGGAUAAGCUUCAUUGUCAAGAGGGAAACAGCCCAGAUCACCAGCUAAGGCCCCUAAAUGACGGCUAAGUGGCAAAGGAGGUGAGAGUGCAGUGACAACCAGGAGGUUUGCCUAGAAGCAGCCACCCUUGAAAGAGUGCGUAAUAGCUCACUGGUCAAGCGCUCUUGCGCCGAAAAUGAACGGGACUAAGUCGUCUGCCGAAGCUGUGAACUUAAGAUUACAUAAAUCUUUUUUGGUAGGGGAGCGUUCCGACGUAGGGUGAAGCAUUUGCGUAAGCCAAUGUGGACGAAUCGGAAGUGAGAAUGUCGGCUUGAGUAACGAAAACAUUGGUGAGAAUCCAAUGCCCCGAAAACCUAAGGGUUCCUCCGCAAGGCUCGUCCACGGAGGGUGAGUCAGGACCUAAGGCGAGUCUAGCAUGCUAGGGUAGUCGAUGGCGAACAGGUUAAUAUUCCUGUACUGUAUCUUAAGAUAGUCCCGAGGGACGGAGAAGGCUAGGUUGGCCGGACGUUGGUUACCGGUUUAAGCACUAAGGCGUUGAGAGGUGGAAUAGAAAACACCUUGAGCUGAGCUGCGAGUACGCUUAUCUACGGAUGAGAAAGCAACUGAUGUCAUACUUCCUAGAAAAGCUCGAACGACAUACGUUAUCUACGGAUAAUAAAGCAUUAAGAUAUACCUGUACCCGAAACCGACACAGGUAGGUAGGUAGAGAAUACCUAGGGGCGCGAGAUAACUCUCUCUAAGGAACUCGGCAAAAUGGCCCCGUAACUUCGGGAGAAGGGGUGCCUCUUUCGAGAGGCCGCAGUGACCAGGCCCAAGCGACUGUUUACCAAAAACACAGGUCUCCGCUAAGUCGCAAGACAAAGUAUGGGGGCUGACGCCUGCCCAGUGCCGGAAGGUUAAGGAAGUUGGUUAGUUUCGACGAAGCUAGCGACCGAAGCCCCGGUGAACGGCGGCCGUAACUAUAACGGUCCUAAGGUAGCGAAAUUCCUUGUCAGGUAAGUUCUGACCCGCACGAAAGGCGAAACGAUUUGGGUACUGUCUCGGAGAGAGACUCGGUGAAAUAGAAUUGUCUGUGAAGAUGCGGACUACCUGCACCUGGACAGAAAGACCCUAUGAAGCUUUACUGUAGCCUGGAAUUGGCUUCGGGCUCUUCUUGCGCAGCUUAGGUGGAAGGCUGAGAUCGCGUUCUUCCGGGGACGCGGGAGCCAUCAGUGAGAUACCACUCUGGGAGAGCUAGAAGUCUAAUGGCGUUCCUUGAAUCAGGACGCUUGACAGUUUCAGGUGGGCAGUUUUACUGGGGCGGUAGCCUCCUAAAAGGUAACGGAGGCGUGCAAAGGUUCCCUCAGGCUGGACGGAAAUCAGCUGUAGAGUGCAAAGGCAGAAGGGAGCUUGACUGCAAGACCUACAAGUCGAGCAGGGACGAAAGUCGGCCUUAGUGAUCCGACGAUGCCGUGUGGAAGGGUCGUCGCUCAACGGAUAAAAGUUACUCUAAGGAUAACAGGCUGAUCUCCCCCAAGAGUUCACAUCGACGGGGAGGUUUGGCACCUCGAUGUCGGCUCAUCGCAACCUGGGGCGGAAGUACGUCCCAAGGGUUGGGCUGUUCGCCCAUUAAAGCGGUACGUGAGCUGGGUUCAGAACGUCGUGAGACAGUUCGGUCCAUAUCCGGUGUAGGCGUUAGAGUAUUGAGAGGAUCUUUCCCUAGUACGAGAGGACCGGGAAGGACGCACCGCUGGUGUACCAGUUCUCGUGCCAACGGGACACGCUGGGUAGCCAAGUGCGGAGCGGAUAACUGCUGAAAGCAUCUAAGUAGGAAGCCCACCUUAAGAUGAGUACUCUUUGAUCACAGCUUGUGCUGUAAUCCGAAGGUCACGGCAAGACUAGCCGUUUAAUAGAUAUCAAGUGGAAGGCCAGUAAUGGUUGCAGCUGAGAUAUACUAACAGACCAAAACA